CUUUGGCAACCUUAAAAAUUUCAUCAACAUUGGAUAAAUUCCACAUUAACUCGUGUCUCCAAACAAAUAAGGAAGGUGAG